rnacentral:rRNA from 1 species
CCUACGGGAGGCAGCAGUGAGGAAUAUUGGUCAAUGGACGAGAGUCUGAACCAGCCAAGUAGCGUGCAGGAUGACUGCCCUAUGGGUUGUAAACUUCUUUUAUACAGGAGUAAAACGAGGCACGUGUGCCUUUUUGCAUGUACUUUAUGAAUAAGGAUCGGCUAACUCCGUGCCAGCAGCCGCGGUAAUACGGAGGAUCCGAGCGUUAUCCGGAUUUAUUGGGUUUAAAGGGAGCGUAGAUGGGUUGUUAAGUCAGUUGUGAAAGUUUGCGGCUCAACCGUAAAAUUGCAAUUGAUACUGGCAGGCUGGAGUACAGUUGAGGUAAGCGGAAUUCGUGGUGUAGCGGUGAAAUGCUUAGAUAUCACGAAGAACCCCGAUGGCGAAGGCAGUUUACUAAACUGUGACUGACACUGAGGCUCGAAAGUGUGGGUAUCAAACAGGAUUAGAUACCCCGGUAGUC